UUUUAACUCCCACCCUUAACUCCCAAAGCUAAGAUUCUAAAUUAAACUACCCUCUGACCGCCUAAUGUACAA
rnacentral:tRNA from 1 species